rnacentral:lncRNA from 10 species
CUCACGAGAGCUGAUGGCUUUAUAUAUGGGAGUUUGCCUGCACAAGCUCUUUUGCCUGCGGCCACCUAAGACGUAACUUUGCUCCUUAUUCGCUUUCCGCCAUGAUUGUGAGGCCUCCCCCACCAUGUGGAACUCUUCUUCUAGAUGGGAUCGAACUUCCUCCUUUCGCUCAGAGAGGUUUGAUUGUCUGAAGCCUUCUUCUCUCAACUUGUCAAAGUCAUUCUCCAUCUAGGUUUGUCCGUUGCUGAAAACGUCCUAAUAAGAAGAUAAGGUGACCGAAUAAGGGGAUUACUUGGCAGAGAUAUGAGAGAACUGGGUUCUUGACCCCACUUUGCCAUGAACUUGGGGGAAAAUUCACCACUGAGCUCAAGCAUUGUAAGACAUCCUGUUCUAAGGAGGGAUGAGGACAAAUCCUCUACUGUUCCCAACAGUUGCACAGGGCACUGCAUCUACAGUUACCCUGAGAACUACAAGCAGGAGGUGAAAGAGCUGAGUCAGCCAAGGUCAUCUGGGGACCUAUCCACUGGCAGGCAGAGGAGCCUUUCCCUGUGGCCACCACUGCCUUCAGCCCAUAAGGGAGUUUUUCCAGGCUACCUCCGAUGAUCACUUAAAGCUCAACAGCUCUUCAUUCAGCUUGUGGUCAUGUGCAAUCCUAAUACACUGACUCUGAGUCCAGUUCAGCACUAAGAGUUACCAAGAAUUUCAGUCCUUGUGUCCUAGACUGCCUUUCAAGUUUACUUGGAACCCCAAAGCACUUCAGCCUGCUGUGGUGAGGCGUGCUGAGAAACUGAAGUUCAAGCUACUGGGCUGGGUGAUUCUUUUCUGGCUAGGUGAGGUCCAAAUGCUCCCUCUUGCAUGGGGGCUGGCUGAGCCCAGCACGGCUUUGCUCUCUGCUGUGACAGGGCAGCACUGAAUUCAAUGUAAAGUCCUCCAGUUCUGUGCUCUCCCUCCCCAAGUGCACAGACUCUCUCCCAACAGCAUGGCUGCUGCCAGGGGAAAUAUUAAGAAUGGUGUAGGAGAUUCAAGACUGUCUGUCUUACUUUCUUCAGUGACAUGAAGUUAAAACCAGGUAGUCUCCUUUAGUGACAUGAAGUUCAAACCAGCUGGUCUAAUUGCUCACCUGAUUUUUGAUUCUUAUGAUGGUUCUUUUCUAUGUGCAGAUAGUUGUUAAAAUUUGGUGUUAUUGUCAGGAUGAAGAGUGUAGACUUCUAUUCCACAAUCUUGCUCUACCCACUUCCUGCCCCCAGUUGAGAUUCUUGCAUUUUUGGGUUAUAGUUGUAUUAAAUUUGAAAAAAAUGUAGUUAUUAUUACAUCAAAUAAUUUUGCUAUCCUGUCUUCACCCUUCAUGGGCUACAAGUUGAAGUAUAUUAGGUUGCUUGACAUUUUCCCAGAGCUCACUUGUGCUCUGUUCAUUGAAAAUUGUUUCUAAAAAUUGGAACCACUUAAAAUUCUAUCCAAACAAUUCUGUAAUCAAAGAGAAGAUUAAAAAACAAAUGGAAGGAUGUCAAGAAAAUAAUAAUAACUCAGUAUGUAUCAGUCUAUGGUCAGUACAAAUUUACUAAGAAGAAAAUAGAAUAAAAAUAAUGAGUU